rnacentral:rRNA from 1 species
AUCUGCAUGCUCCUCAUUAAUCACAUCAGACCAACAAAUAUUUGUUACGGAAGCUAAGAUGGGUCGGGCCUGGUUAGUACUUGUAUGGUACGCUACCUGGGAAUACCAGGUGCAGUAA